rnacentral:lncRNA from 1 species
CUCAAAGGGGGUUAAACCUACAAAACAUAUGACAAAAGGGAUAUGGCUUUUUGGCUUUGGUGGUAACUAAACAACUUCAUCUUGAAUAUGUGUUAUGCAAAUCAAUAUCAUGCUUUGAAUGAAAUGGGCAUGAGUUCUAGUAUUUGGAACUAUAAUGAUGAAACGCCUUCUAAGUAGCAACCAAGCAAAGAAUGAAUGAGAUCAUGCAACGACUUUAGAAAACAAGAAUGCACAGAUUAAUAACUCUCCAAAUAACAUUUGGGCUCAAGUCUCACCAGGAUGUAGCAUUAGUUUGAGUUCCUUCCUUCAAGCAUGUUACAAAAACUAAUUUUUUCCUUUUGUGAUUACAUGUGAAUUCGUAAACUAUAACUACAACCAAGCAUAAACCAAAGAGCAUAUCAAACUUCCAUCCAUGUUUAUAACUUUCUUUAACAGUCAUGCACUUAAAAAACAAAAUCCUCAUCAUUGUGUUGGAAGGUACCCUAAGACACAAACACACAAAAACGACUCAAAACACUCUUUUUAGGCUUUUCAAAACACUUUUUUUUCAAAUUUUUAUGUGAUUUUCGGAGUUAUAUGUCAAAACACACUAAAACACACCAAAACUGCUUAAAAACACUUAAAAACAACAAGGAACAAGUCUAUAAGUAAUGGGUGAUAAAAUCCCACGAAUUUGCAUAAAAAACAGUUAGUUACCCCCCAUACUUCCUCAAUGUUUCAAGCAUAAAAUCACACCAAACAAAAUUAAACAUACAAACAGCAACUUAAUCAACUAAACUGGGCAGAUUAGAAAGAAUCAACAAAGAGAAGGGUUUUAGGAACGCAAAUCUGGAAUUUGAGUGAUUUCUAGGGCUUCCUUUGUUGAAUGCAUGGGUUGCCUCCAAGAAGCGCUUGCUUUAACGUCUUGCAGCCAGACGAUACUUCUCUUUAAGCUCCCCUAGGUCCCAUAGCAUGGAAUUGAUCCUUGAACGGAAGGUGAUACUUGAAGUGAUCCGGCAAUGGUUUAAAUUCGAGAGUGGGUGCCUAAAUUAUUAACAACAUGUAAGUAUAAAACGUAAUGGAAAUUGGAGAAGGUGACUUGCUUUGUCAGACAAGAACUCGAUGACAAACACCACUUCUUUGAAAGUUUCAGGGACUUUGAAUUUGGCCAGAUUUACUACGAUGGUUGUGAUUUGUCCCGUGUCAUCAAACUCAACUACUUUGGACUUUGUUGUUUCAAAUACGUCAUCUUUGAUGUAUUCUCGAUAUUCUCUAGCCACUACUUUCUCUUGAAUCAUUCUUCUUGGUGAACAAGGUUCUUUGAAUACUUCAACACAAUCUGGAACUUGAUUUGGUGUGCCAAGAAUUGGGAUAUCACUUUGCACCUUGGAAAGAGCUUCCACAAUGUCUUUUUCACUCUCUUCUUGCUUGGGAAUAAAAAACCUGCGAGGAAAAUGGACAUUGGGUGGAAUAGGGUUAGAAUUAACGGAAAUUGGACUCAACUUACAUGUAUUGGACAGUGGUGGAGCAUUGGGAGGCUGUGGCAAGGGUAAAAAAAAAAAAAAAAAAAAAAAAAAAAUUUUAUUUUUAUAAAAUUUAUAUUUUUUUUCUUUUUUUUUUCUUAUUAUAUAUAUAUAUAUAUAUAUAUAUUUUUUUUUUUUUUGGAAGUAAUCAACUUAUUUCACAUAUAUAAUCAUGGUUUUGAAUACACCCUUAGCCAAAACGAAUUUAGCCAAUCAUACUUAAAGCAAAACAAAGAUUACAUGAAUUAGACAUUGAAAUAUAAGAUAGAAUACACCUAAAAUUGUUCAACAACUCAGAAUGAAGAGCCAAACAAUUGAGUGAAUCUGUCCCUUUUCCUUGCUUGCGGCAGAUUGGGUGUUGAUGGUUUCUGGGCUGUUUUGAUGAUGUAGACUGGAUUUUGGGGGGUGUAGAGGCACGGCAAGGGGUUUAGGGUGAGUGUGGAAGAGUGUUUGAUGGUUGGAAGGUGGUGGAGAACUCGGCAAAGAGGGUAGAAGAAGGUGGAGCGGCUGCUUGUAUUUUCUGGGCGCUAGAAUGGUGUUUUUGGGGUGUUUUGCUGCCUAGGGUGUGUAUGAACGAAUUUCUCUGAUGAAUGGUUAGUGUAUGGAUCUUUUGUGGCUACACAAGGAUGUUUAUUUAAAGGGAUUUCAGGAAUUAAAACCCUAGGUUAAUUAGGUAAUCAGAAAUUAAGUCUAAAACUUAUCUAAAUAGGAAAUAGAAUCAGAAAACUAAAGGGAAAUAGGCUAGGAGGUGCGGCACUAUCCUAAAACAAAAGGGGAUGUGUUUUAAUGUAGGAAUUAGGAAAGAAUGACUCUUCCUUGCCGAGAAACAAGCUAACUAAGAACUAAAAUAACUACGAACUAACAACAUAAAUGCCAAGAAACAAGCUAACUAAGUCGCAUAAAUAUGCUCCUAUCAAAUUCCCCCACACUUAGCUUUUGCUAGUCCUCGAGCAAAACAAAAGAAACAAAAUACAAUCUAGAUCUUCGAACAAUUGUCUUAGGGAUUUCUAAUGCACAUGACAUGCUAAAAAUCAUUACUUACACAGAUUUUAGUCAUCCUUACCCUCGAGCACAUACUUAAUCGUAGUCACCAUUUACUAGUUCGCAUAUAAUCAAUUAAAACAUGGUUUUGAAUGUAGUAACAUGCCUUAGAGAAUUCCCUUAAUUCCUUACUAGAUAUGCACUCAAUUUUCACUCAGAUUUUCUGACUACACUCCCUACACUAGGUAUAUGUGAGAAGAUUGAUGUAAACAUGAAAACUAGUACUCACAUAUGUUAUAGCAAAGAAAGCACUUUUCUGGAAUUAUUAAUGCAUGUAUAUAUAUGAUCUCAUGAACGGAAUGCUACUACUUAGAAGCGAGAACCAGUGAUAUCAUAUGCUCAUACCAAUUCCAAACUCUACAUAUUGAAAUACACAACACUCAAGAUUGAAGUCUAAGGGUUGUAACGGGGCUAAGGGUAUUGGCUAACAAAGAAAGGUAAGGAUAAACAAAGGUUUUUAAAGAAAUAGUAAGCAAAGUAAGGAAAUUGACACUUAGAAUUCACUUUUGAAUGCAAAAAUCAACUUUUAAACACAAGGGAAGAUUCAUGCAACACAUAGGGUCAAAUUCAAACUUUUGGACCCUUUCUUCAACAACCAACACAUGUGAGUUCAUUCUCACUUAUUUUUCAACUCUUUUUCAUACUUUUCACACACUUUUCUUCUUCUUUUUCUUUUUCCACGAAUUUUUUUAUUCUUUUUUUUAUGCCCUUUUCUUUCUUUUGGCACACAAAACACACUUUGAAAACCCCUACACUUGUUUUUCUGCAAAAAUCAAAAGGAAUUCCCUCUAAGUCAUGCUUCACUGUUCUUUAAGAACAAGGGUGUGGACAGUCCUAAUCUAGGCUAGGUAGGGAUAAUGUGGUUAACAAAGAAAAUUGGCUAACGAAGGCUUAAAAGGGGUUAAACCUACAAAACAUAUGACAAAAGGGAUAGGCUUUUUGGCUUUGGUGGUAACUAAACAACUUCAUCUUGAAUAUGUGUUAUGCACUCAAUAUCAUGCUUUGAAUGGAACGGACAUGAGUUCUAGCAUUUGGGUCUAUAAUGAUGAAACACAUUCUAAGUAACAACCAAGCAAAGAAUGAUGAGAUCAUGCAACGACUUUAGAAAACAAGAAUGCACAGAUUAAUAACUCUCCAAAUAACGUUUAGGCUCAAGUCUCACAAGGUUGUAGUGUUAGUUUGAGUUCCUUCCUUCAAGCAUGUUACAAAAACCGAUUUUUUCCUUUUGUGAUUACAUGAAUUCGUAAACUAUAACUACAACCAAGCAUAAACCAAAGAGCAUAUCAAACUUCCAUCCAUGUUUAUAACUUUCUUUAACAGUCAUGCACUUAAAAACCAAAUCCUCAUCAUUGUGUUGGAAGGUACCCUAAGACACAAACGAACACACAAAACAACUUUAAAACGACUCUUUUUGGUUUUUUCAAAACAAAUUUUCAAUUUUUUUUCUGGGAUUUUCGGAUUUUUAUGUAAAACACUCUAAAAUGCAUCAAAACAGCCUAAAAACACCUAAAAACAGCAAGGAACAACAUUGGAAGUUAUGGGUGAUAAAACCCUACGAAUUUGCAUUAAAACACUUUGGUUACCCCCCCCACACUUAAAUCAAACAUUGUCCUCAAUGUUUCAAGCAUAAAAUCACAAAAACAAAAAUGCGAUCUAAAGAAGUUAGAUUCAUGAGACCAUUCUUUCGUAGACACAUCCUAAACG